AAAAACAAAAUAUGCCUUUAGAAUUAUCAACACUUGAUUUAAGGGAAUGCAUAUUGCAUUUUAACACCACCUUGUUCUUUCGUAGUCCCCAUGAAAUUAUGGAGGAGAUGCUCCAGAGGUGUCCUGAGGGCUGCCGGAACUUCAUUAGGGCACAACUGUCAGAGGCAGGGAAAAAGGACAGAGGGAGAAGGUUCAACAGGCACAUGAAGGAUCUAGGGCUGCAGCUGUUACACAGCAGCCCAAAGGCCUACCGUCAAAUGAAGGCCAUAUUCUCGCUUCCUUCUGGAAGGACACUUCGGCGUUACGUUAGCGCACGUGUGGGAUAUUUCUCUCCUGGCUUCCUACAGGGAAUCAUCUCCCAAAUGGGAGUCAUCGCCGCCACCAUGACCCCUGUGGAGAGGAUGUGUAUGCUCGUCCUGGACGAGAUGUCAAUCAAAAAACAAUUUGAUUAUGAUCGCAAGAACGAUGCCAUUUAUGGUGUAUCUGCAUCUGGGGCUGCAGCAAAACAAGCGAUGGUCGUCAUGGCUAGGGGCAUUAUGGGGAAAUGGAAGCAGAUGAUAUUGCUACCGUCAUUAAGGAUGCCAUUCGCCACCUACAUCAUAUAG
rnacentral:lncRNA from 1 species